UACGUAGGUCCCGAGCGUUGUCCGGAUUUAUUGGGUGUAAAGCGAGCGCAGGUGGUUUAUUAAGUCUGGUGUAAAAGGCAGUGGCUCAACCAUUGUAUGCAUUGGAAACUGGUAGACUUGAGUGCAGGAGAGGUGAGUGGAAUUCCAUGUGUAGCGGUGAAAUGCGUAGAUAUAUGGAGGAACACCGGUGGCGAAAGCGGCUCUCUGGCCUGUAACUGACACUGAGGCUCGAAAGCGUGGGGAGCAAACAGG
rnacentral:rRNA from 1 species